UGUCGUUUAAACGAUUAUAUCAUAAAAUUGAUACCGUUUCCAACAAACGAUCAUCCAUUUGCCGAGUAAGAAAGACGAAAACGUACGAAGAUUACCGAACGAAGGAAGUUGACUUUACGAAUCACAUCGACAGUUGCGUGUCGGUCCCCGUGCCGUGCGGUACGGUAUUUAGUAUUCUCUUUAUUCUUUUGUGUAAUUGAUUACUAUUACUUUUUUUUUUUUAUUUUUCUUAAUUAUAUCUGAUAUAAACGUAUAUGUAUACCUCUCGUAUUAAUCUACUGUGAUUUAGAAGUUCGUCGUGUAUGUUUUGAAGCACGAUCAACGAAUUCACUAACGAUGUUAAGUUCUCGGUUUCUGCUUUCGUCCUUAUGUACAUAUGUAUAUAUCUAUGUAUAUAUGUAGUAUGUAUCUACGAAAAAGAAAAAAAAAAAAAAGAAAUUAGAAAGAAUAGAGAAGAUGACUGAAGAAAGGAAGAAAGAAGAAGAAGAGGUCAGUCACGAAACGAUACUUCUUUUAUUUAGUUGAGAAUUACGAGAGUGGAACGAAGCUCACAGGUGCACGAACUUAGAGAAGGCGAUGCGUGCGAAUUAGCUCGAGUACACUCCUCUAUAUUUCCCUUCAUUUCAGCUUACUAUAUUUCGUAAGUCAGUUUAGUUUCGAUUGAAGAGGAAGAACGAAAGGAAGAACCUAACCUAAAAUCUGGAAAAAAGAAAAGAAAAGAAAGAUUAUGAAAAGUGACAAAAAGGAAAGACAAAAUUUCAUAUCUGCAUAUAAAUAAAAUC